rnacentral:rRNA from 1 species
CACGUAGGGUGCAAGCGUUGUCCGGAAUCAUUGGGCGUAAAGCGCACGUAGGCGGCUUGGUAUGUCGGGUGUGAAAUCCCCGGGCUCAACCUGGGAACUGCAUCCGAAACUGCCUUGCUCGAGUAUGGGAGAGGGAAGUGGAAUUUCCGGUGUAGCGGUGAAAUGCGUAGAUAUCGGAAGGAACAUCAGUGGCGAAGGCGACUUCCUGGACCAAUACUGACGCUCAGGUGCGAAAGCGUGGGGAGCAAACAGG